AGAAGAGGGAAUCAGAUUGUGUUGCAGAUGGUUGUGAGCCACCAUGUGGUUGCUGGGACUUGAACUCAGGACCUCUGGAAGAGCAGUCGGUGCUCCUAACUGCUGAGCCAUCUCUCCAGCCCCCUGUGACAAAAUUCUUGUCCAAGAAAUCAAGUCCUGACUACCUACUCGACACAGAAGACCCCUCCCUGACCCUGCAACACCCCAUAUUCAGCUCAGAAGAAGCUAGACUUGAGAGGACAACCAUUACCCCUUGGUUCUUCCUCUACCUUCCUUUUCUAAAAUAACUAUCCCCCCGUUUCAUUUUUUUUUUCGGAGCUGGGGACCGAACCCAGGGCCUUGUGCUUGCUAGGCAAGCGCUCUACCACUGUGCUAAAUCUCCAACCCCCGCCCCCUCCGUUUCAUUUUUAAAUAAAAAGACUGCAAAUGUAAGAACCCAAGACCCAAGCUGCUCCAGUCGCACCAUCUGGAGCCCUCCUCCUUCAUAGUUGAUUCUGGUGUCGCUACUGCCACAGGCGAUGCCACAGGAUGAUGCUACCAAUAGCCUGUCCGUUAAUUAUCCCCCCCCCCUUUUUUUUGAGGCAAGGUGUCUCAGUUAGGGUUUUACUGCUGUGAACAGACACCAUGACCAAGGCAACUCUUAUCAGGACAACAUUUAAUUGGGGCUGGCUUACAGGUUCAGAGGUUCAGUCAGUUAUCAUCAAGGUGGGAACAUGGCAGCAUCCAGACAGGCAUGGUGCAGGAGGAGCUGAGAGUUCUACAUCUCCAUCUGAAGGCUGCUAGCAGAAUACUGGCUUCCAGGCAGCUAGGGUGAGGGUCUUAAGCCCACACCCACAGUGACACACCUACUCCAACAAGGCCACAUCCACUCCAACAGAGCCUCACACACCUCCUAAUAGUGCUACUUUCUGGGCCAAGCAUAUACCAACCAUCACACAGGGUUUCUUUGUGUGUCCCUGGUUGUCCUGGAACUUUCUCUGCACACCAGGCUGGCUUGCCUCUGUCUCCCGAGUGCUGGAAUUAAAGGUGCACACUCUUACUGUCCAGCUCCUGUCUGUGAAUUCUUAAAUACACUGUCUGGCCAUCAAAUGGCUACUAGUGCUGUCGCAACACCAUCCCACAACACGGGCACACCUCAACUAGAGCUUUACCAACUCAGGCAACAAAAUUCAGCUAAAACUACGUCCUGACUUCAUAUCCUCUGGGCCGUACAUUCCCUUCUCUGGAAUUCCCGCUUCUCUCCCUGCUCCUGGGGAGUUAGAGAUAGUGUGGCUGCAGGCUAGGGCUCUGAGGCAGUCUUCCCUCCUUCAUAGCUGUUAAAAAGACCGGAGACAGCUCAGCAAUCAAGAGUGUGGAUCUCACCCAAGUUUUGUUUCCAGCACCCAUGUGGUCAGGUGGCUGACAACCGCCUGAUAACCCCAGCCCUGGGGGAUGUGACACCCUCAUCUAGGCUCUGUGAGCACUACACUCAUACAAGAACACACCCAUGUACAUAUGCAUGCAAUUAAAAAAAUAGACCUUUGUUUUGUUUUUGAGACAGGAGUUCUCUGUGUAACAGCCCUGGCUAUCCCAGAACUCUCUUUGUAGAUCAUUCAGGCCUCAAACUCACAUAGAUCUGCCUGCCUCUGCCUCCCAAGUGCUGGGAUUAGAUGCGUGCACCGCUUCACCUGGGAAAUAUAAAUAAGUCUUCAAAAUAAAAACAUCCUCAUGGGCCAGAAUUCUAAGAGUCCAGUUAUGAUGCUAUCUGCAUGCCUGUGAUGUUGAUAACUCGUUUAAUAAAUUUAUUUUUAAGACAUUACUUUUCGUUUUCUGUGUACGUGUGUGUGUCCGUCCGAGAGCACUUGAGCGUGCUCUCAAAGGUCAAAAGAGUUACAUCUCAUAGAGCUGGAGUGAUAUACAAAUCUGUACUAGAGUGAGCUGCCUAAUGCAGGUGCUGGGAAUCGAACUCUGGUCCUCUGGAAGAGGCUCUUCCCUGCUGAGUUGUCUCUUCAGACGCCCACGGUAAACUUCUUACCUAAGGGGGUGGUGAUCUGCCCAUUUAUCCUCCUUGAGUCUCACACUUGGGACCUUUCAGUUUUCUGUCACUAAAGAGGUCACCUGAGUCCCCAAUCACUUGUUUGUUUGUUUGUUUGUUUGUUUUUAUUUGAUUGUUCUGGAACCUGAGAAGUCCAAGAUUGGGCAGCCAUGUCUGGUUGGCAAAGGCUGUGUGUUGCUUCAGAAGAGGCUGCCUCUCUUUCUCACAACUUGACUGUCCAGGAACUAAUCCGGCACUAUGGGAGUGAGAACUCACUCAUUCUCCCGAGAACUACCCAAAACACACAAGAAAGACAUUAAUCCAUUCAUUGAAACCUCCACGUGUUUGUUUCAACACGUUGCUGUGCGGGGAUACUCAACCCACAACUAUGGGGUAUCGAGAUCUCCUUUACCCAAAGAGGACGCUUAGACCAGGAAGCAGAGGGUGUAAGGCUAGAAAGAGGAGGGAUUCCCAGUCAUCCCGAGUGAGAAGCCGCUCCCUGUUCUCAGAGCUCCCUGAGGGCGGGGCAGUGUGUUUGUUUACACUGGGCAGCGGGGAGAUCCUUCUCUGAAGGAAAGGCUCCACUUCACAGCACAGUAUCCUCACUGCCAAGAGCUCUUCGGGUGUCAGUCUCUGCCAGCAAUAUUUUUAGCAUAUGGCCUUUGGAGCCCGAGGAACAACAUCCACCUCCCAGAGCCGGUCCUCCGGCUGACAGAUAGGACCGCAUCAGAGAGGGCGCUUCAGGCAGCAGAGGCCAACCGACUCGGUGCAAAUCAGAUGCUAACAGCAACCCCUCCGCCCGGAAAUCCCAAGUGGAAGGAAGCCUCUCGUGAAAUUGCCUUCCGUGACAGAUACAGACAGCCUGAGGGGAAUACCUGUCCAGGUGAUACGGGAAGAGAAAAGCACCAGGAUGUAAACAUCGUUUUUUACAGAUUUCACAACAGGCCCCAAGCCAAGCCCGUUGGGAUUCAUGUCAUGCUUUGUCGCACCCGAUGAAGUCUGAUUUGGGACCGAGCCAGAAAACACGGAAGGAGAAGACGAGCCAGGGUGAAGAGCUUCCAAAUUCUAUUCUGCUGGGGCUGGGAAAAACGGACAGGGCUGCAGUAGCCGAGGUCAAUGCAAGCAUUUUAAAAUUGUGUCUUCCUUUUAAAGACAAUCAAACAUUGGCGCAUCCUCUGCUCUCUGGAAGAUCCUGUCUGACAGGAGGACGCGACAUUUUGCUAACUCAGUCCUGACACAGUACAGGUCUGCGCAGCCUUGACUACCUCCUGCCCUUCCAAGGGGAGGUGAUGGAUCCUCUAGCGGGUGGGGCUUAGCGGAGGAAGUUAGAUCUGUAGGGACAGGCUUUUGAAGGAGAUAGUGGGAUCACGUCCUCCCUCCUUUGCUUCCUGGCUGCUGUGACUCCAUUUAACAAGCAGCAUUUGGCUCUAAGCAUAAAAAUAGAGGUAGAGUGACUGGUUUGUAGCCAUAUAGACUUGAUCUGUUCAGUACCGUCCAGGAAGCACAGGUUGACACAUAACUCAUUCCUAUAAGUAAAAUGUCCCCUGUCCAGUCUAGCAGGGAUUAAGGUAGUAAAAAGAGAUACUUGCUGUCCCUCAUUUUGCCUCUCAGAGCAUUGAAACAAUAGACCCGCCAAAAGUUACAACCCUCCCCCCACAACCUAAUGCUGGGAGAACAGAAAGCCUAAAGCCUGGGCCAGUCGGGGAAAUUUUUCUCAUGAAAGAGAUAUACACAUUGUCACAUCACUCUAAAGGAGAGACAGUGUAGGGCUAGAAAGAUGGCUCCGAGGUUAAGAGCAUUGACUGCUCUUCCAGAGGUCCUGAGUUCAAAUCCCAGCAUCCACAUGGUGGCUCACAACCAUCUGUAAUGAGAUCUGAUGCCUUCUUCUGGUGUGUCUGAAGGGUCCUAGAUCUCUCUGUGUCCUUCUUCUCAGUGUGGCCACAUUGAAUGCAUCUCCCUUUUCUGCCUUUUGGUCUCCAUUUGGCUCUUUUCAUUGACUUACUAAUUAAAUUUGGCUUUUGGGGUACAGGCUAAGGACGGUAACUAUGGCUAUCUAUGAACGUACCCAAAUAUAUUUGGAUCAUAGGACUGUACAGACACAUUAAAACCAUGUCAUAAAAUCUAGGUUGGAAGGGGUUGGGGAUUUAGCUCAGUGGUAGAAUGCUUGCCUAGCAAGUGCAAGGCCCUGGGUUCGGUCCCUAGCUCCGAAAAAAAAAAUCUAGGUUGGAGAACUUGAAGCCACCAGAUGGUCAUAGGGUGCAGCACCCUGGCCUGAAUGCCAUGGGGAGGAGGGUAUUUAACACUGUAAGGCCUCCUGGUAUUUUAUCUGACCAUACAUACAGUGUGCCAUCAAGGGACACACAGGUAGGGAAUGCUCGGCUGUUCCGAGGGCUUCACCUGAGCUCAGUGACCAUUGCAUUGGUUGAAUUGCAUCUAUCCACCCAUCCAGCUACCUUCUCACCUACCCAUCCACCCACCCAGCCACCCAGCCACCCACUCACUCAUCCACUCAUCCAUCAAUCCAUCAUCCAUCCACUCAUCCACCCGUCCAUCAUCUAUCCAUUCAUCCAUCCAUCCAUCCAUCCAUCCAUCCAUCCAAACCCAGUCUUUCUUCUCACCUCUAGCUUCACCCAAGCUGGAAACCUGGCCAAACACCCAAAAGAUUCCAGCCUGUUUCUAACUGUCACAAUGUAGCCCUGGCUGGCCUGGAAUUCAUAGAGAUCCACCCCACUCUUUCUCCAGAGUGCUAGGAUUAAGGAAGCAUACUACCCGGAAAGGCCUGAAUUUGCUGAUAUCUUAUCUAACACCUGUAUUUGCCCAGGUUAAAUGUAUGGAAAUGUAAUGUCAGCAUCCAGUUGUGCUUCUGCCUCCAGGGAGACCUCUUUGAACUUUGCAACCGCUGUUGUGGCCUCCUCAACAUUGACAGGUUUUACAUCUACUCCAUACACUGGAACAGCAUAUAUAGAAACACUUCCUGUGUGAUGUGUGAUGUGUGAUGUGAGAGUCAAUACUGAACAUCAGAAAUAAAAGAACUCACGUUUGCCAACAGCCAGCUCUCAAGGGAAACAGGGACUACUUGGCAAACCGAUACGGCUUGUGAACUUAUUGUUAUUCAAUACGUUCUGACAUCAGGGAGAGAUACAAGCAUGUUCGCCGGUUUUCUGCCUAGCAGACUCACAGCAGGGGCAGGGUAUUCUGCAGGGCCAGUGUACCCUGGGGGUCUCCACUACAGUCAUGAUGGCAGGUGGUAAUACCAUUCCUGGAGGAAACGACUUCAUCAGAAGGAAGGGCAUAGCAGCCAGGCAGCUCAGACAGGAAUGCCAGGGGUCAUCAACGGUCCCUGUGUGGUUUGUGGGGGAUCGGAGUGCAGCACAGUAGCGUCCAUCACUCUGAAAUGAUGUGGUUGCCUGAAAGCUUUGCAUGCCGUUUUGCAUCUUGCCACCUGCAGGAAAAGCCUGGUGAGAUGGACAGUUAGGAAUAAGUCAGCCUGAGUCAGCUUGCCUUGGGGCUGGGAAGGGGGCGGGGCUGCACACCUGCAGGGGUGUGUGUGUGUGGUGUGUGUGUGUGUGUGUCUGUGUGUGUGUGUGUGUGUGUCUCCCACAGUUCCAGAUUGGGUAAGUCAAGUUAUCUUCCAUAGGCUGGUGAGUGGGGAAAAGCAGAGCCUCCACUGGCCACUUCUGCUGGGAGAUGAAUGUUUCUCUGCUCUUACCUCAGGAGCCCAUGUUAAGAGUAGACGGAUGUGAUAUUAGCAUCCAGCUGCCCCACUACCUGCCUUGGCCCUUCUCCUUUCACCGGAACCAGCUGACGCCUGCUGAGACAUUGACUGUGAAUCUCAAGCUAACAGACUCCCAGGUGCCAGGGAGUGACAUCCAAGUGUGUACUGAUGGCCGCAAACCCUGCUUCACACCAGCCUGCCUGCUUUCUGUGUGGGAAUCAGAGAGCCUGGCUGCGGAGCUUACAGAGCUUACUCUGCGAAGCCACUCCCAUCCUCAGAAAAAGAGAAGAAUUUCCCACUUCCUGCUGGGAUCCCUCACUUCCUCUCUUCAGAGCCUCACCCCUCACCCCCACCCCUGCCAUGCCAUCAUCUGCCUGUGGCGGUGAUAACUCUUCUAAUAAAUUCACCACCCUCUGUA